rnacentral:rRNA from 1 species
CAUGCAGUCGCACGAGAAAGUGGAGCAAUCCAUGAGUAAAGUGGCGUACGGGUGAGUAACACGUGGGUAAUCUACCUCUUAGUGGGGAAUAACCUGGGGAAACCCGGGCUAAUACCGCAUAAGCUCGAGAGAGGAAAGCAGCAAUGCGCUGAGAGAGGAGCCCGCGGCCGAUUAGCUAGUUGGGAGGGUAAAAGCCUACCAAGGCAAAGAUCGGUAGCCGGCCUGAGAGGGCACACGGCCACACUGGCACUGAAACACGGGCCAGACUCCUACGGGAGGCAGCAGUGGGGAAUCUUGCACAAUGGGGGCAACCCUGAUGCAGCGACGCCGCGUGAGCGAUGAAGCCCUUCGGGGUGUAAAGCUCUUUCGGCAGGGAAGAUGAUGACGGUACCUGCAGAAGCAGCUGCGGCUAACUACGUGCCAGCAGCCGCGGUAAUACGUAGGCAGCGAGCGUUGUUCGGAGUUACUGGGCGUAAAGGGUGUGUAGGCGGUUCUUUAAGUUUGGUGUGAAAUCUCCCGGCUCAACCGGGAGGGUGCGCCGAAUACUGAGGGACUCGAGUGCGGGAGAGGAAAGUGGAAUUCCUGGUGUAGCGGUGAAAUGCGUAGAUAUCAGGAGGAACACCGGUGGUGUAGACGGCUUUCUGGACCGUAACUGACGCUGAGACACGAAAGCGUGGGUAGCAAACAGGAUUAGAUACCCUGGUAGUCCACGCCCUAAACGAUGCAUAUUUGGUGUGGGUCAUUCAGUUGAUCCGUGCCGGAGCUAACGCGUUAAAUAUGCCNCCUGGGGAGUACAGUCGCAAGGCUGAAACUCAAAGGAAUUGACGGGGGCCCGCACAAGCGGUGGAGCA